ACACCAAAGGACUGAGGAGGCGAAUUCCUGGUAAUGGAAGCAAAACUUUCUACAAGUUGUUUUCAGCAAUUAAGAAUUUAAUAUAGCUUUGUUCUCACUUUAUACAGUGGAAUCUGUCUUGGGAAAAGCCUAAUUAAUUUUAUGUGAAUCAAAGAAUAACAUAAAAAACCUUAUUUAUGUUAUGACUGAUUAACUGGGUCCUGUUCGGUAAAGUUUUUAUUUCUUGUUUUUGUUUUCAAAUACCAAAGAAGAAAAAUUAACUAAUCUGAAUAACAUGUUGAGUAACAUCCUUUUUUUUGUAUUUAAACUUUUCAUAAAAAUCAAACUUUGGGUAGCAUUUUCUUUCCAAAAAAGUGAAAACAAAAGGCAAGAGUAGCCGGGUUUACAUAAAAAUUAUAUUUAAAAAAAUCCACGUGGUAUUUCAUAUAGAAACAGAAACAAAAUAUGACACCUUUACAUUGCAGACUUUUAGUUCCUUGCAUUUUUUUUCCUUUUUUUAAUCCUGUGUUGUUUGGUUCCAAUGGGUCAGCUCUUUGGCAUUUUGCUCCAUGACUCAAGGCAAAU
rnacentral:lncRNA from 1 species